rnacentral:rRNA from 1 species
AUUGAACGCUGGCGGCAGGCCUAACACAUGCAAGUCGAACGAGUGGCGGACGGGUGAGUAAUGUCUGUGAAACUGCCUCAUGGAUGGGGAUAACUACUGGAAACGGUAGCUAAUACCGCAUACAAUCGGAUGUGCCCAGAUGGGUUUAGCUAGUAGGUGGGGUACAGGCUCACCUAGGCGACGAUCCCUAGCUGGUCUGAGAGGAUGACCGGUCACACUGGACCUGAGACCCGGUCCAGACUCCUGCGGGAGGCGGCAGGGGGGAAUAUUGCACAAUGGGCGCAAGCCGGAUGCAGCCAGGCCGCGUGUAUGAAGAAGGCCUUCGGGUUGUAAAGUACUUUCAGCGGGGAGGCGUUACCCGCAGAAGAAGCACCGGCUAACUCCGUGCCAGCAGCCGCGGUAAUUC